AUGAAGGAGGGCGUCCUCCACCAGGCGCCAGGGUUCGCGCUGUGCAAGGUGUACAAGCGGAGGACGCCCAGGAAGGCGAAGGCGGCGGCGGCCGCCGCGUCCCCCUUCCUCGCGCACCUGCCUGCUUCCCCACCCCCUCUUCGCCUGCGGGCGGAGAUCCCCCACCUCCUCGGCACCCCGGCCAUGUCCACGGGCCCCGCCUCCCCGGCCCCGGCGUCAUCACCAAGCGCCGACAGAAGGUGGUGGAUCAAGAAGAGCCUCCUCCACCACGGCCCGGGUGAGCCGCCGGGGUUGGCGCUCUGCAAGGCGGCGGCGGCCGCCGCCUCUCCCUUCCUCGGGGCAAGCGCCCAAGAAGCCCGCCUGCCGGAUUCUCCACCCGGUCUUCGCCUGCAGGAGGAGAUCCCCCACCGCCUUGGCACCCCGGCCCCGGUGUCUGCGCCUUCCAGCCCCGCUCCGGCGUCAUCUCGCAGCCCCGACAGAAGGUGGUUGCUCCUCCAAAUGGAGGCCAACAGCUCCCCUCCAAGGCUGGGACGCAAGCUGUCUCUCAAGCGCGUCUUUCAGUACCUCCCCCUCGACGAGGAGCAGCUCGAGGAUGGCGAAAUCGCAGAGAGCAUCGACGACAAGAAGAAGAGAGCGAGGAUCGCCUCUGACCUCGCCUCGCUCAUCCUGGAUGCGCACGAUGUUGAGCAGCUCAAUUCCGCCUGA
rnacentral:rRNA from 1 species